UUGAGCGUGAGUGCGACGCUCUUGACUAGUUUUUAUCUCGCCUCUUUUUUGUUCAGCUCGUUUGGUUGGCGCUGUCCGCGGAAGUUUGCCUUUGACGCGCACAUUAAUUUUAUCUUCACACAUAUGUCACGCGCUACUGCAGCUCACACACACUGGCGUCUCCAACUCUGCCGCUCUCCCACUCUCCCAUUCGGGGGCUCUCACUCACACUCUCAGUGAGCUGUCAACACCAGGCUAUUCUACGCUCAGUCGCAUUGUGUUCACUGAGAUUUGUUUCUCAGUCACUCAACACUUAACCACUCUGCUUCUUUAUGCCAUCGUCGUCGCCAUCGCCUCGGUUCGCUCGUUUUAAUGUCAUAUAAAAAUUAAUUUGUUUGCCGCUCUCCAUUGCUCUUGCACUGCCACUGCUUCUGCCUCUGCCUCUGCCUCUGUCACUACCACUGGCUCGGCUCGGCUUUGCUCUGCUCUGCUCUUGCCUUUGUUUAGCGUUUUUCGAUUAACUUCUGGGUUCUGUUUUGUGGUUUGUUUUCCGCAAGAGCUUCUGUUUGUUGUUUAAGUGGAAAUCGUUGUUUUGUCGUCGUGUCAAAGUUGUUCCAAACAAUUUUUCACAUGUUUUGUCAUCCCGUAAUCGUAUGACGGUUCUUUCUCCACUUGUGUGAUAUAUGUAUGCAAGCGUUAAGCGUGUGUGUGUGCGUGGCUUAAUUAAUCUCCACACUGCACACUUAUGGGCAGCACUGUGUUCGUUUCGAGAUGUAUGUUGAGUAUGGCCACACUAUGCACUCUCCAACUUUUAAUAGAUUAACGGUUGCUUCCCUUCAUCCAUUUUUAAUAAUACAAUACACAAAGUGCUAGUUAAUGGCAUCGUUUGCAUGAUAUUCACAGUUUGCACAUAAAAUCACGUUGAAUGGUUUUUCACUAUUAAUUUAAGCGAGCAGUCCAUUAUUUUUCUUUCGCGUUCCUAAAGUCUACACUUCUGCAACUAUUUGAGUUCGAAAAUUACAAUAAGUGUAAAUACGCUGGAUUAUCAGAGUUAUUUAGCAAUGCUAAGCAAGGGUGGAAACACCUUUUCCAGGAAGCUGUUACCUGACUUGUGGCAGACAUCUGACCAACGUGACGGAUUUAUUAGGUUGGUUUGCUUUACAAUACAGCUUACGCGUAAUUUGCGGUUUUAGCGAACAAAGCGGUUUGGCUCAUUUGCGUCGAAUGCUAAAAUAAGUAAGUACGCAUAAAAGCAUAGAGUUUGAGAGCCAGUUGUAGUGCGAGAAUGAGUGUGAGUGUGAAUGUGAGUAGGUAAGUAAUUCAUAUUUUUACGGCUACUUUGUCAGCGUCAUAAAUUUCCUUGUGCAUGUGAAUUAUUUACUAGCAAAACGAGCAAACGGCAAACAAGAUGGUUGCCUGCGUUGCUCUCAGAGAGGAGAAGAAGGUGAUGGGGAUGCGGAUGCGGGUAUUGCGGCGGUGGCGGUGGCGUCGUAUACAUAAAUAACACAAAAUAUUAUAAAUUACACGCAGGGAUGUAAAAAAGCUGAGCAGAAGCGCAAAAUUUGUAGCCGCGAAAACAUUUAUAAAUGUUUGUGUGAUAAAAGCGAAGCAGCGCAAAAGGCAAACGAUGAACGACGACGCAGUCAACGAUGGCUACAGCUAUAGCUAUAUAGCUAUAGCGAAUGCGAUGGCGAUGGCGAUGGCAAGGGGGCAAAAGGCAGUCAUAAAAAUGCAGCCAUUUACCUUUUGAUUUAUGCACAGCAACAGCAACAAUAACAGCAAACACAGCAAAUAAGUGAGAAGCUCUAGUUAGGGUUUGACGAACACUGGAUACUCUAUAAAAUGCAUUAAU